AACGAACGCUAGCGGCGGGCCUAACACAUGCAAGUCGAGCGGAGGGGCAACCCUCAGCGGCGAACGGGUGAGUAACACGUAGGUAAUGUACCCUCUGGUGGGGAAUAACCGUGGGAAACCAUGGCUAAUACCGCAUAUGUCUUUCGAGAUGAAAGCAGCAAUGCGCCAGAGGAGCAGCCUGCGGCCGAUUAUUUAGUCCUAGUUGGUGAGGUAAUGGCUCACCAAGGGUACGAUCGGUAGCUGGUCUGAGAGGAUGAUCAGCCACACUGGAACUGAGACACGGUCCAGACUCCUACGGAGGCAGCAGUGGGGAAUAUUGCGCAAUGGGCGAAAGCCUGACGCAGCCACGCCGCGUGAGUGAUGAAGGCCUCGGUU
rnacentral:rRNA from 1 species